rnacentral:rRNA from 1 species
UACGGGAGGCAGCAGUGGGGAAUAUUGCACAAUGGGCGCAAGCCUGAUGCAGCCAUGCCGCGUGUAUGAAGAAGGCCUUCGGGUUGUAAAGUACUUUCAGUCGUGAAGGAAGGUGUUAAGGUUAAUAACCUUAGCAAUUGACGUUAGCGACAGAAGAAGCACCGGCUAACUCCGUGCCAGCAGCCGCGGUAAUACGGAGGGUGCGAGCGUUAAUCGGAAUUACUGGGCGUUAAAGGGCACGCAGGCGGUUAAUUAAGUUGGAUGUGAAAUCCCCGGGCUUAACCUGGGAAUGGCAUUCAAGACUGGUUAGCUAGAGUCUUGUAGAGGGGGUUAGAAGUUCCAUGUGUAGCGGUGAAAUGCGUAGAGAUGUGGAGGAAUACCGGUGGCGAAGGCGGCCCCUGGACAAAGACUGACGCUCAUGUGCGAAAGCGUGGGGAGCAA